GAUGAACGCUGGCGGCGUGCCUAAUACAUGCAAGUCGAGCGAACAGACGAGGAGCUUGCUCCUUUGACGUUAGCGGCGGACGGGUGAGUAACACGUGGAUAACCUACCUAUAUGACUGGGAUAACUUCGGGACACCGGAGCUAAUAACGGAUAAUAUAUUGAACCGCAUGGUUCAAUAGUGAAAGACGGUUUUGCUGUCUCUUAUCGAUGGAUCCGCGCCGCAUUAGCUAGUUGGUAAGGUAACGGCUUACCAAGCCAACGAUGCGUAGCCGACCUGAGAGGGGGAUCGGCCACACGGGAACGGAGAACCGGUCCAGACUCCUACGGGAGGCAGCAGUAGGGAAUCUUCCGCAAUGGGCGAAGGCCUGACGGAGCAACGCCGCGUGGGGGAUGAAGGUCUUCGGAUCGUAAAACUCUGUGAUUAGGGAGGAACAAAUGUGUAAGUAACUAUGCACGUCGUGACGGUACCUAAUCAGAAAGCCACGGCUAACUACGUG
rnacentral:rRNA from 1 species